UACAGAGGGUGCGAGCGUUGUCCGGAAUCACUGGGCGUAAAGGGCGCGUAGGUGGCGACCCAAGUCGAUGGUGAAAGCUCGCCGCUCAACGGCGAGUCGGCCACCGAUACUGGGUUGCUCGAGCACUGUAGAGGCUCAUGGAAUUCCGGGUGUAGCGGUGGAAUGCGUAGAGAUCCGGAAGAACACCGGUGGCGAAGGCGGUGAGCUGGGCAGUUGCUGACACUGAGGCGCGACAGCGUGGGGAGCAAACAGGG
rnacentral:rRNA from 1 species